UCUCACUUACUAAAACCGAGGGGAGGAUAACCGAGCAUAACGGCCAGUCUGCGCACGUGAAAUAUUGAAGUAAUGCUAGGCGGCUGCCUGCGAGUAGGCGCGGCCUUGCCAAGUAACGAGUAAUAAGCUGUUAAAGCUGGAGUGCCGGGAUGCAAAUACCAAGAAAGACGGGUGUAGACAUGGCAAAAAAUUCAGAACUGCCCAAGGACGGUUUUCAUAUGCAGAGGAUUAGAGGAUGAGCUUGCUCCUCUAAGAGUAGGUUCUUUGUGGAGCGCGUGUUGUUCCGUGCCACUUUUUGGAAAAUUGGCGGUGUUGUAUUUCGGUGUUGCUUUGAGGGCUGGUGGUGAAAGACGAAAGAUCAGCACAUCCUGAGAAGACUACUUUCCCAUGGGCGCCCUGGAUGUUUCUCAUGCUGUACGGUGAGAGGAAUUCCCACUUAGUGAACUCAAAUCUAGCUGGAUGGACAAAUGAGCAAGAAGAAAGAAACUAUGGGUUGUCAAAUUUGCCAGUUGUGUAGGUGGCAGUUGCUGUUCAGUUUUCCCCGAGGCAGAGAAUAAUGCUAUCUAGCAAGUACUGUCUUUAUUAUUAGCCCUCUCUAAGACAGCAGGGACAAGUAACAUCAAGGUAUCAUUUUAACUCCUUUGCUCUGGAAAAGAUUGUAGCUGUUUAAUCAGAAAUAGAAGCAAACUAUCAAGAAAAAGAAUUGGAAAAAUAGUCUCUUCUGAUCUUAUAUAGAGCUCUGAGUUCAAGACGACGUCCAGACUCUGCACCAGUCUUGAGUAGUAAAGUGCUACUCCAUCCAAGACUAGAGAUGGAAAGUCCCCAGGACCAGGAAGCCCAGAUACCCACAGCUACUCAGUCUUAUCAGGAUCGAGUCUGAGUCAGUCUCUCCCCAUCCAGACCCACACAGCUUCCAGACCCUUGGAUAGGACAUGGACAGCAUCACUUGGAUAGCCUGGGGUUGAGAUGUACAAAUGGGUAUGAUCAACAUACUAAUAAUACCAAACUCCAAACCAAUGGAUGAUUUCACUCAGUUGUUUCAGGUUGUUGUUAAACAGGAGGGGUGAAAGUGUGGAGCCCUGAGGUACAUUACAAGUGUGGGGCUGUGGGCUUGACUUCUUUCCCUUUCAGUACUGACUGGAAUUGAUUACUGAGAAAAGAGGAGACCCACCAUAACAUAGUACUCCCACUCCCAAUCCCUACAGUCAUUCCAGAAGGAUACUGUGAUUGAUAGUUGCUGAGAGAUCAAGAAGCAUCAGGAUGUAUACACACUGUUCCCAUCCUGGCCCCUCCAAAGGUCAUCAACAAGUGCAAUCAAUGCUAUGGUCUACCCUGUUCUGAAAACUGGCUGAAAUAGAUCCAGAUAAUCUGUUUCCUCUAGGAUCUUCUGAAGUUGCUUCCCAACCAAUUUUUCAGUGACCUAAAGACUGGAUGAAAUUUUUUGGGUCUGGUGAUGGCCUCUUGUGUUAGGAGCACACUACCACCUCUUUUAAGACUAGAGGAACUAUCCCCUCCUUCAAGGAGGCUGACACCACUGCAUGGAGCCAACCACAUGUUACCUCCAGGGCAGCUUUAACAACCCAAUAGAGACAUGGAUCUAAUAAACAGGUGGCCAAGCUUGCCAUCUGAAGGACUCUGUCCACUUAAUCAGGAGCCGUAGGAUAAAUCCAUAAGACACUGCCCCAGUUACCUCAACUGAACUUGCUUAGUCAGAGUGCAAUUCCAAGUAUAUCUGAGUGACUUUAUCCAUCAGAUAACGAGAAUAUUUUUUGCAGAAUCCCUGAAUGUAUUCCUGUGAGUUGUCCCUCUCAAACAAGGAAUGAGUCAUCCUGAACAGGCUGCUAGAUAGCUAUUAGUGGACACAGUAAGGGCAGAGAAACAAUGAUACUUUGCUGCUCUUAUUGUCACAAUUUAACCCUGAACACGGACUCUUUCUCACAUUCAAUCAGCUUUGUUCUUUGUCUUCUUCCAACAACUCAUUAGAUAUUUCUUUUAAUACUUCAUCUCCUGAGCUUCUUGGAAAACCAAGGGGCAUCAUGGGAUCAGUGCACAGGGAUAAACCACACAGGGGCACUAUGGUUCAAAGCCUCUGCCACCAGCAUUUUCCAGACUGCAACUAAGACCUUGGCCAAACUGCCCAUCAGAUGCUCAGGGAAAACCCCAAGUUCCUUCUGGAACCCAGCAGAGUCCAUAGAGUGCCUGGGGCAGACUGAACUAGUAGGCCCUUUUUUAGAGGACAAAUCUUUAGAAAGCAUGACUGUGCUAUCUGAUCUUCACAAGGUAUUUGCUCCUGAGCUCAUGUCAAAGUGUUAAUGAUUUAUUAGACCCCAAAUGACCCUAGAACCAGUUCAGUGUAAUGGUUAAGGCAUCAGGCUAGAAACCAGGAGACUGUGAGUUCUAGUGCCUCCUUAGGCACAAAGCAGC